CGGAGCGGAGCGGAGCGGGCACCAUGUCGGGCCGAGAGGGCGGCAAGAAGAAGCCGCUGAAGCAGCCCAAGAAGCAGUCGAAGGACCUGGAUGAGACAGAUCUGGCAUUUAAACAAAAGCAGAAGGAGGAGCAAAAGAAACUUGAGGAGAUGAAAGCAAAGGCUGCUGGAAAAGGGCCCCUCACUAGUGGUGGAAUAAAGAAGUCUGGCAAAAAGUAGUUUGAUCAAACUGCAGGGCAAGAAGUGAUCAAGUUACUCAAUGGAUCUGCAGACUUCAGAGAGUCACGAAAACUCACUGUCAUUUGAAAAAAAUUGUACAUUUUGUUUAGUCAGAAUAAAUUUUUUUGUUAAGAUGUAAUAUUUAAUCUCUUUACCUGUAGGUUUUGUUUUAAAAAUGGCAUUACUGUUUUAUACUGGAAAUGAAACUUUUACUGAAGACCACUUGUGACCUUAUGCAGCCUGAGUGCAUCUGCUGGUUUGGUAGUCAUUUGUGAGAAUAAAU